GUAAUUUAUACGCAUUAGCGCAAUAAGUAAUUUUUUUUUUAUAGUUAAGCAUUAAAAUAGAACUUAUCAAUCUCAUAAUUUUUUUUAUGCAAUUAAUUCAUUUUCUAAAGAACUUGUUUGUUACAUGUAAGACUAAGUUGAGCUUAACUCUUAAUUGCAUAAUGAGAAACAUAAGCAAAAUGAGUUGCAUGACCACUUUAAACCAAUCCUUAAAGCAAUUUGUCCAUAAUUUGUUUCAAUUAUAAGAAAAUAAGGUAUAGUUGAUGUGUUAGUUCAGUGUUAAAACUUAGCUUAUCUUCAUUCAUCAAUUGAGACUUUUCAAUUAGUAACAAGCCAAACAGAAACUAUACUUAAUGGGGCCUAUGCCAGAAUCAUGGACAAUUGGACAUAAAACAGAAACUCAUCUUUUGCAUCAUCAUCAGUGACAGAGUUGCCUCAUCAAUCGGACUUGCACUUUUAUCGAAAUGAUCUCUCAAAGAUGGUGAAUGAAUUCCAAUAACGCGGUUUGCGCUGUGAUUAGGUUAGGUCUCUUGGAGCUGCAAAGCCUGCUCAAAAUUCCACAAAUCAUCUCUCAAAGAUGGCAUGUCCAUUCCAUACCCAGACAGGCAGACUGCUCCUAACAAAUAGGGCAUGAUUUUCCAGAUCUCCUAAAAUUGCAUUUUGUUUAUAAAGAAAUUAGAAUGAUUAUUUCAAAUAUUCAAUUCUAAAUUAGAAUGAUUGUUUCUAAAUGCCCUUGAAGUGCUUUUCAAGUGCCAAAAGUUGCUCCAACUUUACAAAAUUAUGUUUGACAUUUUGGAUACUAAAAGCAAUUCUACUUGAAGUUAUUAUGUAUAGCUUUUGAUUCUAUAAUUGAUUCUAAAACACAAAUUUACAGCAAAUCAUGUUUACAUGAAUGUAUCCAUACAUAAACCACUUUACCUGCAACUCACUUUUAGUCAGAAUCAAUUUUACAUAAUAUAAAUUGAGACAAGUAAUAAUGCAAUCAGAAUAUUCAUUUCAGCAACAUAGUUGCGUUUCAUAUGUUUCAAUGUCUAAGUGUUCAAACAACAAUGGUUUUGGUUGAUGCAAAAUGCCUCAUUUCUCUUUCUAUCAAGAUAAUGCAUUCAAUAGUUUUGUUAAAAAAUGAGUAUAAUUUUAAACGAUACUUAUUAUGAAACACAUGAAUAAUUCUCUUUAGAAAUUUAAAAUGAGAAAGAUCAUCAUAAAUAAGAGAUGUGAGGUGACAUAAUUUAGGGUUGAUAAAUUUCUUAACCACUUAGCCCAACUCUGAGAUGGUUACCAAAUUUGCUUGAUAUACCACAUCUUGAGACACGUCUCACUGGAAGGAAGAUGAGAGAAAGAUAGUUGUAUAUUAUGAAAUAAUAACCUAUGUUUUCGAGCGCCAUAAAAUAAUUUAUAUUGCAAUUCAUGUAUGAAGUAACUAGAAAAUUACCGCUUUGAAUAAAUUAGUAGAAAAAAUAAGUACAAUGUGUUUAUAGAGAAAAAACAUUUCUUAAAAUUAAAUUGAUUUAUUUGACUCUUUAAAUAAUCAGAAUACAAGAAUAAAGUCUUUAGUGAACCCUCUCAGGUCAACCACUACUAUAUGUUUCUUCGUAUAAAAUAAUUCGAUUUGAAACACAAUGUAGUGGAAGCCUUUGAGGGUCACAAAACACAUUUUUCUUUGUCCACUUCAAAACAUGGAAACUUGUUUAGUACAAUUCAUAUUUGUUUCCACACUAAGCUGAUGAAAAAUGUUUGCAAUGAGCUUGUAUAUAUAUAGUAAUGAGGGGUUUGUCCUUUCAACUCAUCCAUAGAACAACCAAAAAGGAAUAAAUAAUUUCUUUUACUAUAUAAUUUCUUUGAUUCUUAGAAUUAGGUUUUUACCCGUUGACAUAUUUGGGAUAUAGGGAAUAUGGAAAAGAUAGAGUCUUGGUAAGGAAUAUGAAAAAGUGUUUACUACAUAACUGUUUACUAUUUGAGUUUAAGUUUUGCUGAAUUAGAUUGAACUGAGUUGAACCAUUAUCAGUUGUUGGAUAAGGUCAAGUGAUAUUCUUUGUGGUGGUUAAAAGCUAGCCAUGCCGUUUUUGUUUUUGGUUCUGAUUUGUGGUGGUCAAGACCCUUGGAUUGUUUGGGUCUUGGCUAACUCUUGAUUGACUUUGUAUAUCUGUAAUUUUUUGGGGACCCCUUGGUACACCUUGUACUAGAGAGAACCCUUGGCUUGUUAAUAUAAGUUCCAUUUUUGAUUGUUAAAAAAAAAAAACCGCACUUAUGGUGGUUGUAAUUUUCUUUUGUAGGUGAAUAUGAUUUAUAACCAUUAUCUAUAUAAUUUUGUUUGUGUGAUUUUAAAAUAUGUGAUGCAAUAAAUGACAGGAAAAAUGACAUGACAAUAUAAAUUUUGUAUUAAGGGAAACAUUAUUCAUGUGCAAGAUUUUAAAGCAAUGUUAAAAACCAGAUGAGAGAUCAAAUCGGUGAGACCAACGAGUCUUAAUUUAAUUAGGCCAACAACACUUGAAGGGGAUACAAAAAAAAGUAAGGUAUUAAAAAAAAGGGAAGUCUAAUUAAACGAGACUAAUGUAAUCAGAUUGAACCACAUAGAAAAUAUAUUGGUUCUUUCCCAGUUUAACUAGUUGAAUUGAUCGAUCCGAUUAUUACAACAUUGUUUUUUGAAGGCUGCAUUGUGAAAAGGAAAUGUAAAAAAUGUUAUGCCAUUAUAGAUUUUUAUUGGAAGAUUGAACAAUGAAAGAAAGAAAUGAAUCCUCUCAUGUUUAAAUCCAGCAUAUGAUAGAGUUAUGCUGAUGAUCUAAAUAUUAAACCUUUUUUUUAAAGGGCUCUCACCAUUAGAAAUAAUUGGAUUAUGUAUAUAUAUUUUUUUUUAUUCGAAGUUUUAGAAUCCAUGCAUAAUCCCCUCAUAUCAAAUUCAAAAUUAAGAUGAUCCAAAUGCAAGAAAGAAUGUAAUAAAAAUAUAAGCUCUUAAUCAUAGCUAUAGAUUCUUAAUUAUCCUACAUAUUAUUCUCAUGCAGAUCUCCUACUAGCCUUCUACAAAAACCAAUCAAAUCAAAAUCAUUUUUAACUAAAGUCAAAUACAUAUCUCCUAGCUGCAGAGAAUAAUAAUAAUUCAUGCAAAAGAUGCCAUAUUUCCUAUUUUGGUAACAUUCCAUUACAAAAGUCAAGCACUGCCUUCAACUUUGUGGAAUUUGCUGAGAUAUUGUUCUUGAGACAUAAUAGUUAAAUAUUCAUGAUAAAAAAAAAAAGCAGUCAUAUCUUAAAUUUGGUGAAUCAAAUUAACCAUAAAGUAAGGGAAUUUUGUUUGGCAAAUUGAAGUUCAUGUUAUAUACCGCACCGCACAUAAUCAACAAGUUUGUAAGAUCUAUACAUUUGAUAUUUUUAAUAGAGAAAAAUGCUUUUAGUGAUAUUUAUAAAAAAACAUUAAUGUUAACUGAGAACAGGACAGAGCAAAAUCACUGGUUUCAAAGACAAAACUUUGAUGUUGAAAGCUUGAAAAACAAAAAAUUAAGAGUUGCCAAAACCCAACAGCAGGAAUAGUAAGAAGUAAGAACCAAAAAAUAAAAAUCAGUAACAAAAAAAAGUUAGACGACAACAUACUAUAUUGUAAUAAUAAGGCAUAAGCCAUAUACUAUAUUGUAAUACUCAACGAUAUCACAACAAAACAGUAAUUGAAAUUGCAAUUUAAAACCUGUAAUUUUCAGUGCAGUAUAUCAUCACAGUUAACAGUAAUCGAAAUUGCAAUUUAAUUUUUUCUUAAUUUGUAGUGCACUGCGACAAAGUUUACAAUGACUUUCAUAGCGACACAUAGUUCAUCAAACCACCAAAUCCAGCAAUGUCUUUGUAACAGACUAGCAGCUAAUGAAACAAAAGAGAGAUUACUACUUACUUACUUACGUUAUCAUACAUAUUCCGAAUAAAAUGAAAAUUUACAUGUUGCAGAAGCCCUUGAACAUGAGGUUAGUUCUCUUUCUAUCUCAGAUCGUUUUCUGAAGCACCAAAUUGACAUAGUUUCUAAAACUGAUGAAUUGUUCAGAAUAUAUGUUGCUAACAUAGUGUGCUCAUGUUGAAGACCUGCAAAUCCAAAGUCCCUCAUAGAGCAUGUUUUAAGGCUUAGUGAAAGGCAUGGUGGAACAAAUUUUGGAAGAACCCAGUUUUGACCAUAUACGAACUCAUGAUCCCUAAUGCUGCCUUGUAUCUUCUGUUAAUAAUACAGAUAAAAUAAAACUAUACAUUUAAGAAAAUAAAAAAAUCAAAUACGAUUGUUAAAAUUAAGAAACAAACCUGAUAAAAUUCAAUAUUUUGAAGCUUAGGGCAAAGGUAGAGCACACGUUGAACUAUACCCCAACUGUAGCUGAGCACCAAAUGAGUCAAAUUAUGGAAUGUAGGAGAGUUAAAAGUCUUGUAUAGUUUUAUGCGUAGAAACUCCACAUUUGAAAGUGCUUUCAUCGGAACAUCGCAAUUACAUUCAAUAAUAUCUGCUCUAAUCAACUUUGUUAAGGUUUCACAACAUCUGUUGGGAUCAAGAAAAGUGAGAUAGGAUAUAUGAUAUAGUUGAAGAUCUUCAAUAACUGGACAAUACCCUAGAAGACACUUAAGAUCUCCAUAUCGAUCAAACUUAAUGUCUUUCAAAUGUAGGGUUUUGAGUGAAGGUAAUAUUAUGGGAUAAUAACAAAAUGCCGGACCCAUAUAAAGAUAACUGAGCUUAAGAACAACAAGGGUUGUACAAGUAAGAAUAGUAUUAGACAAUUUAGGGGUUAUUGUUGCCCAAUUAUGCGAUAUGUGUUCAUCGUCCCAGAUGAAACUGUGGAUGGAAUUAUUACCAGCAGCUUUUCGCAAGCACAAGAUGGAGUCAACGAAUUUGUCGAAUAAGCGUGAAUCGGAGUGUUUGGUUUUGGUAAAGUCAAUAACUGGAACAAAAAACCAUAGAUGCUUCCAUCUCUUUGAAAGAAUGGAAGUGAGAAAGGCUUGUUUGGUGGGAAGAGAAGAGAGAAUUUGAAUUAGGAUAUCGUCUGGUAAACUGCUUAUCCUAUCUACUUCUUCCGUUGAAGUUUCUGGCGGCUUAGACAUUUUGUUACGGCAGUGCGGUGUUCUUCACGGUGGAAUUGUGUCGUAACAGAAUAGGGUUAGGGUUGGAAGCUAAUAGGGUUUAGAAGCAUCAACGAUUCUAUUGUGUAGCCCCAAGCCUAUGCUUAAAUAGGGUUUAGCGUAUUCACGAAUUGGGUUGAAUUGGGAUGGGCCAAAUUUUAACGAAUUCAAGUGAAAUAAUUAACCGUCUUUAUUUUAAUUUGAGUGUCCAUUCUCUCAAUUAACCUCGUUACGGGUCAAGCAUCAAUAUAUCAUUCCUAUGCCGUUUUACCGUUUGAUCUUGCUUUUUUUUUUUUUUUUUUCAGUUUUUCUACAUUUUUAAUUUGAGUUUUAACCAAAAGUUAUUGAAUGCUACUUCAAAAAACUCUUUCUCCCCAAUUUAUUUCAAAGGCACCUCUCUUCAACUACCGCCGGCAACCUUUUGUUUUAUUUUUCAAUAUGCUUUUUUCUUCCAUUUUAUUUUAUUUUAUUUUUUUAACCGGUCCAUUUAAUUUUUUAAUGAGAUUCCAUUUAAGUUUAUUAUCUAUUUUUUUAAGGAAUUUUAUUAUCUUUUUAUCACUUAUAUAUUAAUUUCAAUAUUUUUUGAUCAUCACAACCUCGCAAAUAUUUGUAUUCACACUGUCAAUGAAUGACACCGAAUAUUUUUAUUCCCUUUCUUCAACCACGAAAAUACACACACACGUUAGCGUUUAGAGUCAUACUUUAUGUUUCUCUUUCUGUUUUUUUUUUUGUUAUGCUAAUGCGUAUAAUUUUUGUUAGUGUUGUGUAAUGCGUAUAAUUAUUUUUAUAAAAUUUUGAUUUUAAUUAAAAGUACAAGUGUAGUUGCCUAAAAAAAUUAUACUUAUAUAUAAUUUACACAUUUGUAUUGUAACAAACUAUGCAUAUUUUUUUCUUAUUAAAAAAACUAAACAUAUCUUUUUCAAUGACACCAGCAAUGUAACAAAUAUAAUAUUAUAUAAUAUAAAUUCUUAUCUUUUUGACCAACACUAAAAAUAUGGUAUUCUUAUAACAAAAUUUGUUAUAAAGUAUAAUUGGAAAAGAUAUUGUACAAAUUUGUAUUCAUGUUACACAAAAUAAACGUCAUUGAGUAAAUAUAGUAUUGGUAAAAAUAUAUCUUUUAUAUUUUAAACAUUUUUUCCCUUCAAAAAAUAUUUUAGACAUUUUUUUAUUUAUUAUGUUAAUUCAUAAUGAAUUCAAAGUUUUUUUAUUUAUAGACAAUGCAUAAAUAUAUGCAAGGUCCCAGGUUCGAACCCAGACACCACCAAAAAAUAAUAAAUUCAAAGUUUUGUACAAUAUUUUGCCAAACAGCUUUUAACUCAAAAAUAGCUUUAGAACUAAAAAAAAAUAAAGAAACCAAACAGCUCUAGCCUUUUUCUGAAAGAGAUUUAUUUUAACUUUGUUUUAAAAUAGCUUUUAAACCGAAAAAAAGCCUGGCCAAACGGUACCUAAUUCAAGAUAUAAGGGAUCUCCUUGUUACGCACAAUUUCACUGUCCACCAUUACCUCUGUGAAGGAAACCAAUGCGUUGAUUUCAUGGCAAAAUUGGGAGCUUCGUCUAAUGAUGAGUACCUCAUCCACCCAUCCCCUCCUCAAGACCUUCCUGUUUUACUAAGGAAUGAUGCAGUAUGAACUUAUUUUCCUAGAGCUUAGGCUUUCUGUUUUCUUUCUCUUUUGUUUUCUUCUGCCUUUCUUUUUGCCCUUGUAACCAAAAAAAAAAAAAAAUUGACAAUGAAGAUUGACUCGGUUGUUUUUUUUUCUUUUCUUUUGUUGACAAAAACAAAAUGAUAUUCAUUCAUUCAAAUCGAGAUAUUAUAUCAUUCAACACCGCUGAAAACCUAAAGGAUGAAUCUGCGAACAAACACAACAUCCAAGUUAAUAGCAUAUAACGGCAUAAUGCCUACAAAAAUAUAUGAUAAAAUUAAAGUGAUCGGAAUAUCCAUAGGGUCCGGAUCUGCAACGUUGACAUCCAAAUCUUUGAUUGAAUAAUGGAUCUUUCAAUAUGAAUCAAAUGAACACCGCAAGAAGACGAGAAAUCAAACAACGCCGCACAAUACGACGAACAACAAACAACCACACUUAGAUGAUGAAAUCACAAAUAAAAAAUCUAGAUCUAUGUGAAAAUCACUUAUUUAGAUUGAAAUAGAGAGAAAGAGAUGAAGUUUGGUUAUUUCAGGUCAAGAAUUGACCCAAAACCACCCCUCAACAAAGAAUCUGGAAGAAAAAACCUAGAGAGAGAAAACUAGGGCCGGCUUGUUGGAGAGGUAACAAAACACUUGUAGUAUAACGGAUAUUUUAAAUAAGAUUGACUCGGUUGUUAAGAAGUUAACUCACCUUUAAAAUUGUAUUUUCAACUCUAUCAGUAAAACAUUUGUAAAUGCUCCCCUUUUUUGACAAGACUAUACUUGUAACGUCCCGAAUUUUAAUCCAAGACAUUACUAAAAGAAAAUUACUCUUUCAAAAAGAAAGAAGAUUAUUUUCAAAAAAGUAUGCAUUUACUGCUUUUUUUAAUAAAACAACUUAAACAAUGUUCUUGAAAAUAAAAUGAAAUUCAAAGGUAGAGACAAUUCAUUUAUUUCUUUAAGAAAUACAAAUCAACUUUAUAAUACACCUAAAAAUAUUUUGAAUUACAAAUACAAUUAUAAAACUCAUUUUGGUCCCUGCGCAACACUUCAAUCACACAUCAACUUCAUAUUUCAAUCUUUGAUACCUACAACAUUUUAUUAAUGUAAGGGUCAAUUUCCGGUUCCACAUGGGAUCACCAAUAAAACUAGACCACUAAAUGGUCUCUGCAAGGCCGUAGUCCCAAAGACUAGACCACUAAAUGGUCUCUGCAAGGCCGUAGCCCAAUAAAACUAGACCACUAAAUGGUCUCUGCAAGACCGUAGCCCAAUAAAACUAAACCACUAAAUGAUCUCUGCAAGGCCGUAGUCCAAAGACUUCAUGAUAUGUUUUGCGACUCAAUGUCAUCAACAAAAUAUCCAAAAAUAAGACCAUGAAAUACAACCGACCAACCUCUAAUAUUUUAUGAACCAAAAAUCAUUUUUGGAAUCAUAUAUAGUUAUCAACAUGUCAAAUCUAAUAAACAAAUUCUCAAAACCAUCAACACAAUAUUCAAUCAAACUUAUAUAAAAUCAUUAAAUAGAAUAGGCUUAAUUGCACUUUUGGCCACCUAUCUUUCAAAAAGUUGCAAUUUUGGCCCCCUAACUAAUUAAAAUACAAAACAGCCCCCUAUGUAGUGGAUCUUUGGUAGUUUUGGCCCCCAAAGCCAAUUUUGACUUGGUCGACACACACGUGGACGCCACAUGUAUUUUUUAUUUUUGUAAUUAAAAUAAUUUUUUUGAAAAAAAUAAUUUUUUUAUUUUUAAUUAUUUAAAAAAGUAUAUUUUUAAUAAAAAAAAGAUUUUUUUUAUUUUUUUUAUUUUAAAAAAAUUAUUUUUUACUAUUUAAAAAAUAUUUAUUUAUUUUAAAUUGCCACAUUAGCGAAGACCAAGUCAAAAUUGGCCUUGGGGGCCAAAACUGCCAAAGAUCCAAUACAUAGGGGGCUGUUUUGUAUUUUAAUUAGUUAGGGGUCCAAAAUCGCAACCUUUAGAAAGAUAGAGGGGCAAAAGUGCAAUUAAGCCAAUAGAAUAAAACAUAGAAAAAAAAACUAACUCUUUUUAAUGGACAAGAAUUCUACUACUAUUUCACAACACUUAUCCGACCUAGAAUGAUGGUGUGGGGAAAAAUCAUAUACCUUAGGCGCUUUUACUUCCUAGCUGAAACGCAAUUUAGAACCCAUGAGGUACUUACAAGAAAUAAAGGUGAAUAUAUGACAAGAUGAUUUGUUAAAAAAAGAUUGAUGAACUUAAAAUAUAAAAUUAUACAAUUAUUAUAUUAUGGAUAAAAACAUUUUAGUAGGAAUUCAUUCUUUUUUUUUUUUUUUGGUCAAGAGUAGGAAUUCAUUCUAUCAUAGAAAUUAAUACACUCAAUAGUUUUUUUUUUUUUUAUUUUUAAAAAUGAGUAUACUCUUAAACGACAUUUACUAUAAAAGAGAUGAAUAAUUCACGUUAGAAAUGGGAAAGAUCAUCAUAAAUAAGAGAUGUUAAGGUGACAUACUUUAGGGUUGAUCAAUUAUUUCUGACCACUUAGGCCAAAUUGCAUUUGAGAUGGUUACCAAAUUUGCUUGAUAUGUUCACAAACCACAUCUUGAGACACAGGACACUAGAAGGAAGAUGAGAGAAACAUAGUUGCAUAUUACGAAGAAAUUAUAACCUUUGUGUUUUAGAGUGCCAUAAAAAUGUUUAUAUUGCAAUUCAUGUAUGAAUUAGCUAGAAAAUUGCCACUUUGAAUAAGUUAGUAGUAAAGAUCAAGCAAAAUAUGUUAAUAGAGAGAAUAUUUUUAAUUUCUUAAAUAAAUUGAAUUUAUUCGACUCAUUAAACAAUCGAAAUAAAAGAAUAAUGUCUUCAAUGAACCCUCUCAGGUCAACCACUACUAUAUGUUUCUUCGUAUAAAAUAAAUCGAUUUGAAAUACAAUGUAGUGGAAGCCUUUGAGGGUCACAAAACACAUUUUUCCUUGUCCAUUACUUCAAAACAUGGAAUCUUGUUUAGUACAAUUCAUAUUUGUUUGCAUGGUAAGCUGAUGGAAAAUGUUUGUAAUGAGCUUAUAUAUAUAUAUAUAUAU
rnacentral:lncRNA from 1 species